CUUGAGACAAAUUCAAGAAAAGUGUUUAUAAUUAUUUCAUACAUUUUGCUGUUGAAAAAAUAGUAUUUAAAAAAAGUUUCAUCCUACAGUGAAUUUUUAGCCUCCCCUUUUAAUACUUAUUUUGUGAACAGUGACCUUGUUUUUGUAAACUCUGCUCUGAAGAAGUUUAGAAAUUAGUCACACAGUAAGUGGCAGAACAAGUAUUCAAAGUCUUGCCUGAUUUUCCAUAGUCAUUUAGCUUGGAAAGCACUGUAAAGUGGCAGAAAGAAUAUGGACUUUGAAAUUUAGACACACCUCAAUUUGAUCUCUAACUUUGCUACAUAUUUGCUGCGUGGCAAGUUCUUACCAUUGGUGAUUUUCAUUUUCCUUUUCAGUUAAGUGAGAGCAAUACAUUUGUUAGGAUUAAAUGAAGUAAUGCACAUAAAGCAUUUGGCUUGUAGAAUAAGAUGUUGAUAAAUGUUUAUUUUUCUUUCAGCAAUACCAUAUCGUUUUAAAAUGUCUUGGGAGCCACUUGGACAUUUCACUUGAAAGUUAAGUGCAGUCAGGAAACUAGAAACGUGUAACCCAGGUAGUGAUCUUGUAGGGAAAUUUUAAUUUCCCUGUCUAAGGAGGAAAGUAGUUCUUUGGACUGUUUUAAAAAUAUUUGACUUCAAGGAAAGUUUUCAUGUUAAAAGCUGAAAUAGAACUGAGUUGGGAUGAGUUAAUUAUUGCUAACCAAAAUUGUAAGAGAGUACAUUUCUACAUUUCCUGAGAAAUUGAAACAUUUGUGUUAUAUACAUAGAGAAGUCAGUUUUAAAGGCUAAGGACUGACCAUUUGACAAGUUUAUGAUUAAGAUAUGGGGAGAAAGUGUUCAUUUUUAAAGUAAUAAACAAUAACAAGUUUCUCUUAUCAGAUUUAAGAUUUAAGGAAUGGUGCUGGUUCAGACCUGAGUACAGUGAUGACACAGGCUUUCUUUAUCCUCUGCCACCCUUGAGACAGCGAGACCAACCCCUCCUUUUCCUCCUCCUCUUCAGUCUACUCAACUUGAAGAUGGUGAGGAUGAAGACAUUUAUGAUAAUCUACUCCACUUAAUGAAUGAGAGAGCCUCACUCUAUGGUCCAGGCUGAAGUGCAGUGGUGCAGUCAUACCUCACUACAGCCCCAAACCCCUGGCUUCAGAUGAUCCUUCUGCCUCAGUGUCUGAGAUAGCUGGGAUUAUAGAUAGGGCCAGUUUUGAGUGUGUGAAUUUUUGAGUGAAACCUGGAACCCAAAUGAGAAGAAAUCUGCAAGGAAUAACUACUGACAGUGAAUCUACAGAGUCAUCUGUAUGCAUAAUAUGGAAUGUUCUUAACCCAGAAGUAGCUGAAUGUGUUAUUCCAUUGAUGAGGAGUGACUCUCUGUUAUAGUCCCUGGGUCAAGACAACAAUUUUUAUACCUUCGUCGUGGUUCAGAAAGGAGUCUCUGUAGAACCAGAAGCAAAGAAAGGAAACAAUCCGAGUUUUUCUUUAUUAAAUUGACUGUGUAAGAUACUUGACUUCCAGGAACAAAAACACAGUGAAAUAAUAAAAUUUCAUCUUGGCAUCACUGGACAUUGAUCGUAUUGAGGAGUGUAUUUUGUGGAACUUCCUGAGUUGAGAUUUGGAACCUUCAUUGGUGCUCAUUUAUACUGUGGACUGUAAGCAUGAGUGAAUUCUGGUUGUGUUUCAACUGCUGUAUUGCAGAACAGCCUCAGCCUAAAAGGCGACGACGGAUUGACAGAAGUAUGAUUGGAGAGCCCACAAACUUUGUGCACACGGCUCAUGUUGGAUCAGGAGACCUGUUCAGUGGAAUGAAUUCAGUUAGCUCCAUUCAGAACCAAAUGCAGUCCAAGGGAGGCUACGGAGGUGGAAUGCCUGCCAAUGUGCAGAUGCAGCUCGUGGAUACGAAGGCGGGAUAGCCCUGGUCCUUUCUCCAGGUUAUUGUGAAUUUCUGUAUUUUCUCUGUCCACUAUUCUGUAAUUUUUUUUUGUCCUGUGAUUGCGUUUCUUUUAUUUUGAAUUACAAAAAAGAAGUGUGAUGGCACCUUGUCUACCCUGUCGUGAUUAUUCCAGUGAGAUGUUACUGUUCUGCUCUGAAGAAGAUACUGUCAGACGAAUCCUGCAUUUCCUUCAGCUGGCCUGCAUGCCUUUGGAGUCAUGGACAGAGUUCUUUGGAUUGUCACUGAAUUUUCAAUGUUUAAUCAGUAUGGAUCUGAUCUUCGCAUGAUCUUUUUUGUGAAUGCUAACACCAUUUUGCAGUUUUUUUUUUUUUUCUAUUUUAAACAUUUUUCUUUUCACUGCCGACCCCCUGCCUUACGAUUUUAUUGGAAAGCAAGGACCUGCUAUUAUUUGUUAAUUUGCCAUCAUUUAUGUAUAUUUUGGAAGGUAUGAGACCCACAAGCACAAUGAUCAUUUUUGUUUGAAACUUCAGCAGAAUAGGUAUCUGCAUGCUUUAUGAAGUUGCUUCGGUGAGAGCUCAUGGGAUGCCAGAAAUGAACAUUUCUUUGCUGCCAUGGGCUGAUGAUGCUGCUAUUAGAUAAAGUUUAGCUGUGGCACCAAGUCACAUCAUUUUCAUUGAAAAAGAUUACUUGUAGCUUUAGAAGUAUGACCUUUUGGUCUGUUUGAUUAGAAUUGCAAUAAAAGAAAAGCUUGCAUUCAUAAGGCAUUCAUUCUGUUGUAAAUGUUCAAUAUAUAUUUAUUUUGAGAGCAAGGACCUGUGGUUGUAAACAGGUGUGGUCACGUAUCUGAGUGUUGUGGUCAUACUCUCAUCCAGUCCGAUCCUGAGCAUCUUCAUCUUAUUAGCUGUCCGUUUCUUUCUGCACUCAUUCUUUUAUUUUUACUUCUUUUUAAUGUUAUGGUAUCCAGUUGUUUCCAGUAGCAGUUUCUUGAACUUCUGGCCUGUACUACUAACUGCAGAGACCUCCACAGUCACUGGCCUUUCUGUGCCCUACAUAUUUUAGGGGCCACGUCAGUUGGUAAGAGCAACAUACAUACUGACCUGGCUGAAUUAUUGCCAGUGAAAACAACCUGUACGAAGCCUUUGCUCAGGUUCUAAAAUAUGUUUGUCCUUGCACAAAUUUUGUAUGUUUCAGAUAUUUCUGUAAAGCUUUCUUCUUUUCUGUUAGAGUGUGGUGUUAAGCCAGAGUCAGUGGUCUUGUCCUCAUUAAACUGUUUUAAUCCUGUGUCCAAUUCAAGCCUACCUAACUACAUUUGGUAGGAUUAACAUUUCAUGUAACAAAUGGGGCUUAAUUAAAAACUUUAGAUAACUUUGAAUAAAGGAACAGGGAUCACUUUAUCUUCUGCCUUCAUUUACCUUAGUCCCAGAUUCUU